rnacentral:tRNA from 1 species
GGAGAGUUGGCCGAGUCGGCUGAAGGCGCUCGCCUGCUAAGCGAGUAAGGGGUUAAUUACUCCUUCGAGGGUUCGAAUCCCUCACUCUCCGCCA